CUACGGGGGGCUGCAGUGAGGAAUAUUGCACAAUGGGGGAAACCCUGAUGCAGCAACGCCGCGUGGAGGAUGACGCAUUUCGGUGUGUAAACUCCUUUUAUGAGUCAAGAAAAUGACGGUAGCUCAUGAAUAAGCACCGGCUAACUCCGUGCCAGCAGCCGCGGUAAUACGGAGGGUGCAAGCGUUACUCGGAAUCACUGGGCGUAAAGGACGCGUAGGCGGGAUGUCAAGUCAGGUGUGAAAUCCUAUGGCUCAACCAUAGAACUGCACUUGAAGCUGGCAACCUAGAGUAUGGGAGGGGGAGAUGGAAUUAGUGGUGUAGGGGUAAAAUCCGUAGAUAUCACUAGGAAUACCGAAAGCGAAGGCGAUCUCCUGGAACAUUACUGACGCUAAGGCAUGAAAGCGUGGGGAGCAAACAGGAUUAGAUACCCUAGUAGUC
rnacentral:rRNA from 1 species